rnacentral:rRNA from 1 species
AUGGAGGGAUCUUUUGUGUCCGCCUCCAUCCAGUCUCCCGCCGACGACGAUGCUGAAACCUUCCGCUACCCCUCCUGGAUCAUCCUCGACAGCAGAGCCCACUUCGCCGACCUCGACAACGCCACCACCGUCAAGGCCAAGGCCAGCACGGGGCACGAAUUCAAGGUCACCUUCUGCCUCGCCGAGCCGCCUGCCGUCUCCUACUUCUGCGCGCACUGCCCCGAAGAUUGUUGCACCACGGAGCCCCGCGUCGUCUCCUCCGCCAAUGACCUCCUCCUCCUCUGCUUCGCCUUCAGAACCGGCCCGCCGAGCACAGACAAAGACUCCCAUCUCCUCGAGUACUUCGUCUACACUGCUGCCUCCGGCGGCAACCAGUCCAUCAGACCCGUCCCGUCUUCUUCUCCAACCUACAGGCACACAUGGCACGCGGCCAUCUUGCCCUUCGAGGGCGACGAUUUCUUGAUCGCCGAUCUUGUCCGGAAUGCGGACCUUGUGCACCACGACCUUCACAUCUUCUGGUCGGGUACGAGCGAGUGGAGCACCACACACUUGAAGCUGGAGUCUCCUUCCGACGCCCAGCCAUGGGACCUGCCAAUCCAAACCGACAAGGUCAUCUCUCUCGGAGGAAGCAUGGUAGGAUGGGUCGACCUCUGGCGCGGCAUCGUCAUCUGCGAUGUGCUUGACAGGGAGCCUGUUCUGCGCUUCCUCCCGCUGCCCAGAGCCGAUUUCGACCUGAACCGGGAAAGCGAAGCACGGCCAGUGCGGGACGUCACCGGCUGCCACGACGGUUUCAUCAACUUCGUCGAGCUCGAACACUGUCACAAGUUCGUCAACGUUAUCGGCAGGAGCAAUUUCAAUACGCCCAAGAUUUUUGACACUCAAGACACCAUCUAUGACACGGAUAUCCUCAGCCACGAUGACAUGCUGGGCGUUACAGAUGACCAUAGACCUGUGUCCGUGCCUGCUGGCUGGAAGCUCCGGACAAUGUAUAAGAGCAUUUCUUGGGACUAUUGGCGCAAGGGUAACACUAUCCAUGUGAACGACAUUUCAGCCUGCCCAACAGACCCCUCUAUGCUGCUGCCUCAGCUGUGGGAUGCUAGAGACAGAAAAUGGACAUUGCGAAACCUGAAGCGCACAGGCUUCCCGACCUUCAGCAUUUGCGCCGGUGAUGUUGUCUACCUCAUGUGUAAGGCGGAGUCUGAUGAUAAAGACGCGUUGCUUCUUGGUGUUGAUAUUGGAACGAAGAAGCUGGAAGUCAUCAGACCAUAUUGUGGCGCGAGAGCCACUUCUUUCGACCCGACAUUCAUUUCCUGUGAAUUCUCUGAAUAUCUGAAUACCACUCCAUAUCCAAGGCCAUGUGAUGAGGAAGUUGCAGCAGAGUCUUCUCAGAAUAGUGUGCCAAAUGAUCAUCUUUCAUCCGCUGAUACUGUUCCAAACAAUGCGCAACCCCAGCAAAACACGUGUCAUGGGGAUGGCUACUAUGGGACAUGGAACAAAUGCGAUUAUGGCGCGCACCCAGGCUACGGCAAUUAUCAGCAGCCAAUCCCACAGUCCUUACCUCCACCCAAUUUGACACAAACUGUGCAACCCAUGUUGUCUUCAGCUCUAUCAGAAGGGUAUAUCUAUGCCCGUUGGACUUUACGAGAUGCCUAUGGACGGAUGUAUAUAUCAGUACCGUUGAAUGAGAUGUAUAAGCCCUUUGCCCUAUGGAGGCCUCCAAUGCCAGCGCAGCAACCCUUCGCCCAACCCUUGGCUCCAGGGCAAUCCAGAUGA